rnacentral:rRNA from 1 species
CAGCCGUAAACUAUGCGCGUUAGGUGUAUCGGUGACCACGAGUUACCGAGGUGCCGAAGGGAAACCGUGAAACGUGCCGCCUGGGAAGUACGGUCGCAAGGCUGAAACUUAAAGGAAUUGGCGGGGGAGCACCGCAACGGGAGGAGCGUGCGGUUUAAUUGGAUUCAACACCGUAAACUCACCAGGGAAGACUGUUACAUGAAGGCCGAGAUGAAGACUCUGCUAGAUUUUCAGAGAGGAGGUGCAUGGCGUCAGUGACU